rnacentral:rRNA from 1 species
UGCGCAGGCGGGUCUAUAAGUCAGUGGUGAAAGCCUCGAGCUCAACUCGGGAAUUGCCAUUGAUACUGUAGACCUUGAGUAUAGUUGAGGUAGGCGGAAUGAAUCAUGUAGCGGUGAAAUGCAUAGAUAUGAUUCAGAACACCAAUUGCGAAGGCAGCUUACUAAACUAUAACUGACGCUGAGGCACGAAAGCGGUGGGAGCGAACA